ACGGAGAUAUUAAGAAUGAGAGCUUCGGCAGGAAUUUUUAUUAUCUUAGUGGCGGACGGGUGAGUAACGUGUGGGCAACCUGCCCUGCACUGGGGAAUAAUCAUUGGAAACGAUGACUAAUACCGCAUACGGUUCUUGGGAGGCAUCUUCCGGGAAAAAAAGGAUUUAUUCGGUGCAGGAUGGGCCCGCAUCUGAUUAGCUAGUUGGUGAGAUAACAGCCCACCAAGGCGACGAUCAGUAGCCGACCUGAGAGGGUGACCGGCCACAUUGGGACUGAGACACGGCCCAAACUCCUACGGGAGGCAGCAGUGGGGAAUAUUGCACAAUGGGCGAAAGCCUGAUGCAGCAACGCCGCGUGAAGGAAGAAGGGUUUCGGCUCGUAAACUUCUAUCAACAGGGACGAAAGAAAUGACGGUACCUGAAUAAGAAGCCCCGGCUAACUACGUGCCAGCAGCCGCGGUAAUACGUAGGGGGCAAGCGUUAUCCGGAAUUACUGGGUGUAAAGGGUGAGUAGGCGGCAUGGUAAGCCAGAUGUGAAAGCCUUGGGCUUAACCCGAGGAUUGCAUUUGGAACUAUCAAGCUAGAGUACAGGAGAGGAAAGCGGAAUUCCUAGUGUAGCGGUGAAAUGCGUAGAUAUUAGGAAGAACACCAGUGGCGAAGGCGGCUUUCUGGACUGAAACUGACGCUGAGGCACGAAAGCGUGGGGAGCGAACAGGAUUAGAUACCCUGGUAGUCCACGCUGUAAACGAUGAGUGCUAGGUGUCGGGGAGGAAUCCCCGGUGCCGCAGCUAACGCAAUAAGCACUCCACCUGGGGAGUACGACCGCAAGGUUGAAACUCAAAGGAAUUGACGGGGGCCCGCACAAGCGGUGGAGCAUGUGGUUUAAUU
rnacentral:rRNA from 1 species